GACUCAGAGCAAUACAUAAGUUGCCCAAGGUCAGAGAGCAAUGACCAUAUCAGAGCACGGUGUACAUCUCUUGCAGUAUUCAGAAUAUUUCUCUACGGGCAGCAACAUUUUUCUCUCCUUAUCUGGAUAUUAGGAAGAAUAUCACAGGACCGGCUUACAGCGCCAGUCACAUCUGACCAUAUCAGAGCACAGUGUACUCCUCUUGCCGUAUUCAGAGGAUUUGCCUAUGGGCAGCAACAUUAUUCUCUCGUUCUCUGGAUAUUAGGAACAAUAUCACAGGACCGGCGGACAGCCCCAGUCAUAUCUGAAAAUAUCACAGCACGGUGUACUCCUCUUGCCGUAUUCAGAGGAUUUGCCUAUGGGCAGAAACAUUCCCCUCUCCUUCUCUGGAUAUUAGAAACAUUAUCACAGGACCGGCAAACAGCCGCAGUCAUAUCGUGA
ensembl:lncRNA